UAUUUAUUAUGUGAUGUUAAUGAUAAAAAAAAUAUAUAAUGAUACAUUCAUCAGGAAAUGUUAACAUAAUGCUGUAUAUAAACCAAAAACUAAAUUAAAAGAGCUGAGAAAAGACUGGGAGUAACAGCAAACAUCACUCUACACUACCUGAGACACUGGAGGCAGAGUGAGGCAGAUCAGGGUACAUGGUAAUGUGAUAUAGAGUAAAUUAGAUCUUAUUAGAGCAGGGGAGAGUGAGUUAUAGCAAGACAGUGAGGUAGAGUGAUGUACUAUAUAUUGAGGUAGAGCAAGACAGAAUGAAAGAGUAAAAAAAAUGAGGUAGAGCAAACUACAGUAAGGUAGAGCAGAGUAGGGCAAGACAGAGCCAGUAAUGUAGAGUGAGUGAGUGAGGUAGAGCAAGACAGUGUGAAGAAAAGCAUGUCAGUGUGAGGUAGAGUGAGGUAUAGUGAGGAAAAUUAAGACUGUGAGGCAAAGAAAAGUGAGGUAGAACAAGACAGAGCGAGGUAGAGCAAUACAGAGCGAGGUAGAGCAAUACAGAGAGGGAGAGAGCAAUACAGAGAGAGGUAGAGCAAUACAGAGCGAGGUAGAGCAAAACAGAGAGAGGUAGAGCAAUACAGAGCGAGGUAGAGCAAUACAGAGAGAGGUAGAGCAAUACAGAGCGAGGUAGAGCAAUACAGAGAGAGGUAGAGAAAUACAGAGAGAGGUAGAGAAAUACAGAGCGGGGUAGACCAAUACAGAGAGAGGUAGAGCAAUACAGAGCGAGGUAGAGCAAAACAGAGCGAGGUAGAGCAAAACAGAGCGAGAUAGAGCAAAACAGAGCGAGGUACAAUCUGACAGAGUAAAGUAAAGUGAGGUAGAGAAGGUUAAGGAAAGACAGGCCGGAGUAAAGUAAGACAGACUGAGGUAGAGCCUGCCAGAGCAACGUGAAGAUAGAGUAAGGGUAGAGCAAGACAAAGUGAGGUAGAGCAAUACAGAGAGAGGUAGAGCAAUACAGAGAGAGGUAGAGCAAUACAGAGAGAGGAACAAUCUGACAGAGUAAAGUAAAGUGAGGUAGAGAAGGUUAAGGAAAGACAGAGUGAGGUAAAGAAAGACAGAGUGAGGUAGAGCGUGGCAGAGCGAAGUAGAGUGAGGUAAUGAGGUAGAGUGAAAGGUAAGUCCAGCUUUUGCAGGAUCUUCUCAGCGUGA